rnacentral:rRNA from 2 species
AAUCCAUAGGUUAAUGAGGCGAACCGGGGGAACUGAAACAUCUAAGUACCCCGAGGAAAAGAAAUCAACCGAGAUUCCCCCAGUAGCGGCGAGCGAACGGGGAGGAGCCCAGAGCCUGAAUCAGCAUGUGUGUUAGUGGAAGCGUCUGGAAAGGCGCGCGAUACAGGGUGACAGCCCCGUACACAAAAGCGCAUGUGCUGUGAGCUCGAUGAGUAGGGCGGGACACGUGGUAUCCUGUCUGAAUAUGGGGGGACCAUCCUCCAAGGCUAAAUACUCCUGACUGACCGAUAGUGAACCAGUACCGUGAGGGAAAGGCGAAAAGAACCCCGGCGAGGGGAGUGAAAAAGAACCUGAAACCGUGUACGUACAAGCAGUGGGAGCACCCUUUGGGUGUGACUGCGUACCUUUUGUAUAAUGGGUCAGCGACUUAUAUUCUGUAGCAAGGUUAACCGAAUAGGGGAGCCGGAGGGAAACCGAGUCUUAACCGGGCGUUAAGUUGCAGGGUAUAGACCCGAAACCCGGUGAUCUAGCCAUGGGCAGGUUGAAGGUUGGGUAACACUAACUGGAGGACCGAACCGACUAAUGUUGAAAAAUUAGCGGAUGACCUGUGGCUGGGGGUGAAAGGCCAAUCAAACCGGGAGAUAGCUGGUUCUCCCCGAAAGCUAUUUAGGUAGCGCCUCGUGAAUUCAUCUCCGGGGGUAGAGCACUGUUUCGGCUAGGGGGCCAUCCCGGCUUACCAACCCGAUGCAAACUGCGAAUACCGGAGAAUGUUAUCACGGGAGACACACGGCGGGUGCUAACGUCCGUCGUGAAGAGGGAAACAACCCAGACCGCCAGCUAAGGUCCCAAAGUCAUGGUUAAGUGGGAAACGAUGUGGGAAGGCCCAGACAGCCAGGAUGUUGGCUUAGAAGCAGCCAUCAUUUAAAGAAAGCGUAAUAGCUCACUGGUCGAGUCGGCCUGCGCGGAAGAUGUAACGGGGCUAAACCAUGCACCGAAGCUGCGGCAGCGACACUGUGUGUUGUUGGGUAGGGGA